rnacentral:rRNA from 1 species
AACGAACGCUGGCGGCAUGCCUAACACAUGCAAGUCGAACGAGACCUUCGGGCCUAGUGGCGCACGGGUGCGUAACGCGUGGGAACCUGCCCUUAGGUUCGGAAUAACUCCCCGAAAGGGGUGCUAAUACCGGAUAAUGUCUUCGGACCAAAGAUUUAUCGCCUUUGGAUGGGCCCGCGUUGGAUUAGCUAGUUGGUAGGGUAAAAGCCCACUAAGGCGACGAUCCAUAGUUGGUCUGAGAGGAUGAUCAGCCACACUGGGACUGAGACACGGCCCAGACUCCUACGGGAGGCAGCAGUGGGGAAUAUUGGACAAUGGGCGAAAGCCUGAUCCAGCAAUGCCGCGUGAGUGAUGAAGGCCUUAGGGUUGUAAAGCUCUUUUACCCGGGAUGAUAAUGACAGUACCGGGAGAAUAAGCUCCGGCUAACUCCGUG